GCCCUACGGGAGGCAGCAGUGAGGAAUAUUGGUCAAUGGGCGGGAGCCUGAACCAGCCAAGUCGCGUGAGGGAAGACGGUCCUAUGGAUUGUAAACCUCUUUAGGCGGGGAGCAAUGCCGGGCACGCGUGUCCGGAGGGAGAGUACCCGCAGAAUAAGCAUCGGCUAACUCCGUGCCAGCAGCCGCGGUAAUACGGAGGAUGCGAGCGUUAUCCGGAUUUAUUGGGUUUAAAGGGUGCGUAGGCGGAUUGAUAAGUUAGAGGUGAAAUGUCCGGGCUCAACUCGGGAACUGCCUCUACUACUGUU
rnacentral:rRNA from 1 species